rnacentral:rRNA from 1 species
UGGACAACCUGCCCUCAGCACUGGGAUAACCCCGGGAAACCGGAGCUAAUACCAGAUACGACCUCGGUAGGCAUCUUCUGAGGUGGAAAGUGUUAGUGGCUGAGGAUGGGCCCGCGGCCUAUCAGCUUGUUGGUGGGGUAACGGCCUACCAAGGCGACGACGGGUAGCCGGCCUGAGAGGGCGACCGGCCACACUGGGACUGAGACACGGCCCAGACCUCCGUACGGGAGGCA